UAACCUAAUUAAAGCAAAAUUUAAAAUUAGGAAGUCUGUUCGACUUUCAAAAAAUUACAUGAUUUGAGUUCAGACCGGUACAAGCCAGGUCGGUUUCUAUCUUUUAAAAAAAUUCUUGUAGUACGAAAGGACCUAAGAACUUUAUAAUAUUAUAAAUUGGCAGAUCAAUGCAUUAGAAUUAGAAUCUAAUUAUCU
rnacentral:rRNA from 1 species